rnacentral:rRNA from 1 species
GAUGAACGCUGGCGGCGUGCCUAAUACAUGCAAGUCGAGCGAACAGACGAGGAGCUUGCUCCUCUGACGUUAGCGGCGGACGGGUGAGUAACACGUGGAUAACCUACCUAUAAGACUGGGAUAACUUCGGGAAACCGGAGCUAAUACCGGAGAAUAUAUUGAACCGCAUGGUUCAAUAGUGAAAGACGGUUUUGCUGUCACUUAUAGAUGGAUCCGCGCCGCAUUGGCUAGUUGGUAAGGUAACGGCUUACCGAGGCAACGAGGCGUAGCCGACCUGAGAGGGUGAUCGGCCACACUGGAACUGAGACACGGUCCAGACUCCUACGGGAGGCAGCAGUAGGGAAUCUUCCGCAAUGGGCGAAAGCCUGACGGAGCAACGCCGCGUGAGUGAUGAAGGUCUUCGGAUCGUAAAACUCUGUUAUUAGUGAAGAACAAAUGUGUAAGUAACUAUGCACGUCUUGACGGUACCUAGUCAGAAAGCCACGGCUAACUACGUG